AAGUUAUCUACUAGAUAUGCCUAUUCGAUGAGAUCAGCAGGCUAAUCUAAAACUGGACAUAAUAGAUUCACAAGGGUACAUGUCAUUUCCAAGUCAAUUCGCCUCAGAUUUAUUAUCAUUUUUUCAAUGCCAUGAUCUCGGAGCAUAAGAAACAAACAGAUAGAAGCAAACCAAGAUCGUGACAGCCAUGGAAGCGUGAGACACGUCCAUCCCAGCCAUCACCUCAUCAUAAGCAAGGUGUUAAUUGGGAAUGGACGUGUCUCACGGUUUGAUGACAAUCAUGACAACUACAAAACACAUAAAGAAGCACCCGUCCAGUACCUCACAAGCUCAUGGCAUUCAAGUUAUUGAACCAAUUUUAUAAUCAUCAUAGGCAUUUAAAGAAACUGACAUAUAGAAAAGCCUUACUCAGUAUAUGAAAAAGGUGAGAAAACUGGUUAUAUCGGUUUUGCCUCAGUCAGCCAAGCUUGUAGAAACGAAAUAUGUGUACUCAGUAUUGAAGAUCUUUGAUUUGUAUGGAAACAAAGCGUAAAGGCCUCAGCUUAAUUAAACAAAGCGUAAAGGCCUCAGCUUAAUUGGUGGCUGCCAUCUAAAUGAAUAGACCAAACAUAGGCAACUUGGGAAGUUCAGAAAAAACACAUGCCAACCAUCAGAGUUGUUCAACCAUACACUGUUUUGCCAUCUACUUGAGCAUGACCCAAAUGUUGCUAGACAGUGAAUGGUUCCAAAAGAUCUGAUGAAUGACAUGACAAAAUGCAAGAAAAAGUGAGAAGUAAAAAUGCAGCCACCUCAGAGUAGUUUAAGUUUCAUCAUAG
rnacentral:lncRNA from 1 species